rnacentral:rRNA from 1 species
AAUGGGCGAAAGCCUGACGGAGCAACGCCGCGUGAGGGAUGAAGGCCUCUGGGCUGUAAACCUCUUUUAUCAAGGAAGAAGAUCUGACGGUACUUGAUGAAUAAGCCACGGCUAAUUCCGUGCCAGCAGCCGCGGUAAUACGGGAGUGGCAAGCGUUAUCCGGAAUUAUUGGGCGUAAAGCGUCCGCAGGCGGCCCUUCAAGUCUGCUGUUAAAAAGUGGAGCUUAACUCCAUCAUGGCAGUGGAAACUGUUGGGCUUGAGUGUGGUAGGGGCAGAGGGAAUUCCCGGUGUAGCGGUGAAAUGCGUAGAUAUCGGGAAGAACACGAGUGGCGAAGGCGCUCUGCUGGGCCAUCACUGACGCUCAUGGACGAAAGCCAGGGGAGCGAAAGGGAUU